AGGAGAGAGGUUUUCUGUGAAGCCGGGGCGUGAGCCAUCCGGUGGAGAGAUCACUAGCGAGAAUGAUGACAUGAGUAGCGACAAAGAGUGUGAGAGACACUCUCGCCGAAAGUCCAAGGGUUCCUGCGUAAAGCUAAUCUGCGCAGGGUUAGCCGGCCCCUAAGGCGAGGCCGAAAGGCGUAGUCGAUGGGAACCACGUUAAUAUUCGUGGGCCUGGAGAUGUGUGACGGAUCACGUGUGUUGUCUGACC
rnacentral:rRNA from 1 species